GAUGAACGCUAGCGGCAGGCUUAACACAUGCAAGUCGAGGGGUAGAAGGAGCUUGCUCCUUUGAGACCGGCGCACGGGUGCGUAACGCGUAUGCAAUCUACCUUUUGCAGAGGGAUAGCCCAGAGAAAUUUGGAUUAAUACCUCAUAGUAUGUGAGGAUGGCAUCAUUUUCACAUUAAAGUCACAACGGCAAAGAUGAGCAUGCGUCCCAUUAGCUAGUUGGUAAGGUAACGGCUUACCAAGGCUACGAUGGGUAGGGUCCUGAGAGGGAGAUCCCCCACACUGGUACUGAGACACGGACCAGACUCCUACGGGAGGCAGCAGUGAGGAA
rnacentral:rRNA from 1 species